rnacentral:tRNA from 1 species
GGCGGUGUAGCUCAGCUGGCUAGAGCACUCGGUUCAUACCCGAAAGGUCGGGGGUUCGACUCCCUCUGCCGCUACCA